AUGCAGUACUUGCUUCUGCAGAGUUUUGAUUAUCCUACAGAUACUCUAAUCCCAGGUAUAAGAACUGAUUUGAAUUCGAAAAAGGGGCAAGAAUGGGCUUUAACAUCUUAGAAGUCACAAGAUGACCCUGGAACGGGGGACUAUGCGUUUAGGAUCUAUCCGAAUCACAAUGCUACUCCUCAAUUCUAUAUCUACAAGGGUGUCACCAAGUUGAAGGAUUCCGGGUUACUUCAGCACAUAUCAUGGGAUGAUGCUGACCAUCAAUGGGUGGACAUGUGGUCUGCGCCGAAGUACCCUUGUGACUGGUAUGGACAGUGUGGUGCCAACAGCAAAUGUAGCCCUGAUAAUAUUAAUAUGUUUGACUGUGAGUGUAUUCCAGGGUAUGAACCAAAAUCUGUAGAUGGUCGGAAUCGGAGAGAUGGAACAGAUGGAUGUGUGAGUAAACGAGCAGGAGUGUCGAAGUGUAGGAAUGGAGAAGGGUUUGUGAAGGUGGCAAGGGUGAAAGAUCCAGACACAUCAAAUGUAGCAAUGUUGAGAACAAGUAUGGGUAUCAAAGAGUGUGAGCAGGUUGGACGAGACCUAUAUGUUCGUGUGGAUAAAGUCUCAUUAGCUGAGGCCAGGCACUCGAAAGGUUUCUUCAGGAGUGGCAAGAUCCUUAUUCCAGUACUAACUGCUCUGGUGGCACUACUACUAAUCACCAUGCUUGCCUUGUGGUUGCUUAAGAAAAAGGGGAAGAAAAGAGACUAUUUGGAUGCUGAUGAACUUGAGGAAAGUAAUAGACACACGGAAUUGCAAUUUUUCGACCUUAGGACAAUAAUAGCAGCCACAGACAACUUCUCUGAUGCCAAUAAACUUGGCCAGGGUGGUUUUGGCUGUGUUUAUAAGGGGAUUGAAGAAUUCAAGAAUGAAGUUGCACUGAUAGCCAGACUGCAACACAGGAAUCUUGUGAAACUUUAAGGCUGCUGUAUAAAGGGAGAAGAAAGGAUUUUAGUUCUGGAAUACAUGCCAAACAAUAGCUUGGACUCCCUUCUUUUUGAUAGCUCAAGGAGGUCAUUCUGAGAUUGGGAAAAGCGUUUUGAAAUUAUCAAUGGGGUUGCUCAUGGGGUUCUAUAUCUUCACCAGGACUCAAGACUAAGGAUUAUUCAUAGGGAUCUGAAAACCAGUAAUGUCCUUUCACAUGCUGAAAUGGAGCCAAAAAUUUCUGAUUUCGGCAUAGCAAGAAUAUUUGAAGGGAACCAACUCCUAGAAAAGACAAACAGAGUUGCUGGAACAUAUGGCUACAUGUCACCAGAAUAUACAGUAUUUGGAAGAUUUUAUACGGAUAUGUUUAGUCUGGGGAUCAUACUAUUGGAGCUUAUUAGUGGAAAAAGAAACAAUGAUUAUUUUGAGGUGACUCAUUCAAUGAACUUGAUAGGACAUGUAUGGCAACUUUGGAAAGAAGACAGUCUUGGAAAUUUUGGAUUCAUCACUAGAGAUUUAUCAGCUUGAUGAAGUGUUGAGAUGCAUUCAGCUUGCAUAGUAUAUGCAUGCAAGAAGAUUCAGAGGACCGACCAGCUAUGUCAGUCGUUGUGUUCAUGUUGAGUGGUGAAACAUCUCUUCCAUCUCCUAAACAACCUGCAUUUGUCUUCAGAACAUGUUCACAGCUGAACAAGUCUCUGAAUUUUGCUAACUCGGCUCCUCCUCCGGGCAAUACACCUUCUCUGCGAAAAAUUCGGGCUCGAUCUUUGGCUGAAGCAGCAGCGGUUUCGGCACCGCAACCAAAAAAGAAAAAGUCUGUUAUCAGGAGGCUUGAGAAGGCAGCAACGGUGAUCACUUCGGUCUUGGAAUCUGAGCAUGAGUGUGUUGAUUUGGUGGACAAGGGUCCAAUAUUGCAAGGUAGCUCCCCUAACAGUGCAAUCAAUGUUGGCAUUGACGAUGUUGUGGAUCCAUCUUCUGGUGCUAUGGUGGCGGUCUCUCCUAAAGUCUCUAGAAAGAAAGAGCAUCAUGGUCAUUAUACUCUUUACCCUAAGAAUAUUAAAACUAUUCUUGGGGACGAGUUUCAGUCUUUCAAGCUGAAUCUCUUGAGAGGUCAGAGAACCGCACCCAACUCGGACACAAAAAAGGUGGUAUGGAAAAAAGCACUGGUCAUUUUAUUCACGCAUUGCCAGAUUCCAAAUGCCCUGAAAAUGCCAUUGAAAUCUUUGCUUCUCUUCCUCCUCUUCCAACUUUGCACUUCCAGGGACACCUUGAGAUCGAACCAAGAAAGUCUGAGGGAUGAUGAUGGUGGGCUUCUAGUGUCCAAAGAAAGAAACUUUGAGUUGGGUUUCUUCAGCCCCGGAAAUUCCAGCAACCGCUAUGUUGGGAUUUGGUUUUCUCAAUCUAGAGUGUCUGAAAAGACAGUGGUUUGGAUUGCAAACAGAGACAACUCCAUCAAUGAUACCUCUGGAGUUUUCACUGUAAACAGGUACGGAGAGUUAGUGCUUUAUGCUUAUAAUAUGGAGACUAGUCCUAUAUGGUCUGCAAAUGUGUCUCAUUUAGUCAAAGACAAAAGCACCUUAUCAGCAUAUGUUCAGCUAUUGGAUACAGGAAAUUUAGUUAUGUUCCAGAAUGAUAGGGAUGGAAUCUUUGUAUGGCAGAGUUUUGAUUAUCCUACAGAUACUCUAAUCCCUGGUAUGAAAGUUGGGAUGAAUUGGAAAACUGGGUUAGAAUGGGUUUUAACAUCUUGGAAAUCACAAGAUGACCCUGGCACUGGGGACUAUACCUUUAGGCUUCAUAGUUGGAACCGCAUUGCCCUAUCCCAGUAUUUUAUUUAUAAAAAUUUGUCCAAGUAUUGGCGAAGUGAUCCAGACCCAUGGCCGAAUUCGGUCAGAAAUGCAGAGGAAAUGUCUUAUCUACUAACUUAUAACACCGAUAAACUUACAAUAAUGAAGUUGAAGUUUUCUGGGAUACAUCAGCACUUAGUAUGGAACGAUGGUGACCAUCUAUGGAAGGAGCUGUGGUCGUCACCGAAAUACCGGUGUGACUGGUAUGGACAUUGUGGUGCCAACAGCAAAUGUAGCCCUGACAAUGGUAAUCUGUUUGAGUGCGAGUGUUUACCGGGGUAUGAACCAAAUUCUAUAAAUGGUUGGAAUGGAAGAGAUGGGUCAGAUGGAUGCGUGAGUAAACGAAUCGGAGUGUCAAAGUGUAGAAAUGGAGAAGGGUUUGUGAAGGUGGCAAGGGUGAAAGAUCCAGACGCAUCGAGAGCAGCAUUGUUGAAAACAAGUAUGAGUGCCAAAGAGUGUGAGCAGGAGUGCUUAAGAAAUUGUUCUUGCACGGCAUAUAUGAGCAAAAAGAUUGAAGGGGUUGUCGAUUGCUUGACAUGGUAUGAUGACUUGAUGGACAUUUUGGUUUACACCGAAACCGGACGAGAUCUAUAUGUUCGUGUAGAUAAAAUCGAGUUAGCUGAGAAUGCUGCAAACUCACAAGGAUUCUUCAAGAGGGGCAUGCUUGUUAGUCCAAUACUGUUUGCUUUACUGGCCUUGGUACCAAUCAAUGUGCUUGCCUGUUGGUUGCUUAAGAAAAAAGGGAAGACAAAAGACUUUGUGGAGGUGGAUGAACUUGAGGAAAGCAAGAGACACCCGGAAUUGCAAUUUUUCGAUCUGAACACACUAAUAGCAGCCACAGAUAAUUUCUCAGACGUUAAUAAACUUGGUGAAGGUGGUUUUGGUUGUGUUUAUAAGGGUGAGUUGCCAAAUGAACAGAAGGUUGCUGUGAAAAGGUUGUCUAGUAGCUCAGGACAAGGGGUUGAUGAAUUCAAAAAUGAAGUUGAACUGAUAGCAGGACUUCAACACAGGAACCUUGUGAAGCUUUUAGGUUGUUGUAUAAAGGGAGGAGAAAGGAUGCUGGUUCUCGAAUACAUGCCAAACAAAAGCUUGGACUCCUUUCUUUUUGAUAACAGUAGAAGGUCCUUCUUAAAUUGGGAAAGACGGUUUGACAUCAUCAACGGGGUUGCUCGUGGGCUUUUGUAUCUUCACCAGGAUUCCAGAUUAAGGAUUAUUCAUAGGGAUCUAAAAACCAGCAAUAUUCUUCUAGAUGCUGAGAUGACCCCAAAAAUUUCAGAUUUCGGCAUGGCAAGAAUCUUUCAUGGGGACCAACUUCAGGAUAAGACAAAGAAAGUUGUUGGAACAUAUGGCUACAUGUCACCAGAGUAUGCAGUGUAUGGGAGAUUCUCCACGAAAUCGGAUGUGUUUGGUUUUGGGAUUAUACUACUGGAGAUUAUUAGUGGCAAGAGAAAUAAUGGUUCUUACGAGGAUGAUUACUUCAUGAACCUGAUAGGACAUGUUUGGCAUCUGUGGAAAGAAGGAACAGCCUUAGAAAUUCUUGAUUCAUCAUUACAAUCAUAUCAACCUGAUGAAGUUUUGAGAUGCAUUCAAGUUGGACUGUUGUGUGUGCAAGAAGAUUCAAAGGACCGGCCAGCCAUGUCAUCUGUCGUGUUCAUGUUGAGCGGUGAGGCAUCUCUUCCAUCUCCUAAUCAGCCUGCAUUUGUCUUUGGAAGAAAAUCCAGCAUUGUUGCUGAUCCCUUGAUUCCAAAACAAUUGUAUUCUACUAACGACGUGACAAUAACUAUUAUGGAAGCUCGAUAAUGAGGCAGGCCUUGUAUGAAGCAGUAAUGUACUAGCAAGGAGAACUGUCUAGCUAGUAUUCUUACAUCUAUUUGAUCAAUGGAUGAGGCUUAUCUAAACUAGGGGUUUACAGCAUGGAAGAGAGGGAAAGAGUGGAUGUGACCUAAACAGAGCUGAUUCAAAUUCAACCGAAGGAAUGAUGUAGGGUUUGUUCAAUGAGGGUUUGCGGCUCAAAACAGCUUGGAAGGGUGAAAUAUGUAAGAAAAUGAAUCCUGUUGACUCCAGUGGAAUCAAACGAGGGGAAGAUUUGCUACAGAGAAGAGCAACAGCAUGGCACGGUCUUCGGCAGCAAAGGAGCAGUAAGCUGAAGCCUAGAGGCCAGAAGGACAGGGGACUUGUUCUAGUAGUACUACCCCGAGAGAUAUUUCUUUGAGA